rnacentral:snRNA from 1 species
AACAUCAUAUUAAUUUAGUAUU